AGUCCCGCAACGAGCGCAACCCCUGUCUCUGGUUGCUACCAAGUAAUGUUGGGCACUUUAGAGAGACUGCCGGUGACAAGCCGGAGGAAGGCGGGGAUGACGUCAAGUCCUCAUGGCCCUUACACGCGGGGCUACACACGUGCUACAAUGGCAGUGACAAUGGGUUAAUCCCAAAAAGCUGUCUCAGUUCGGAUUGGGGUCUGCAACUCGACCCCAUGAAGUCGGAGUCGCUAGUAAUCGCAGAUCAGCAACGCUGCGGUGAAUACGUUCCCGGGCCUUGUACACACCGCCCGUCAA
rnacentral:rRNA from 1 species